rnacentral:rRNA from 1 species
UACGUAGGGUGCAAGCGUUGUCCGGAAUUAUUGGGCGUAAAGAGCUCGUAGGCGGUUUGUCGCGUCUGCUGUGAAAAUCCAGGGCUUAACCCUGGACCUGCAGUGGGUACGGGCAGACUAGAGUGCGGUAGGGGAGAUCGGAAUUCCUGGUGUAGCGGUGAAAUGCGCAGAUAUCAGGAGGAACACCGGUGGCGAAGGCGGAUUUCUGGGCCGUAACUGACGCUGAGGAGCGAAAGCAUGGGGAGCGAACAGG